GGCAGCAGAUAAAAAGAGAGUUUGUGCAGGGCAACUCCUGUUUUUAAAACCAACAGAUCUCGUGAGAUCCAUUCACUAUCACGGAACAGCGCAGGAAAGAUCCACCCCCAUCAUUCAGUUAUCUUCCCUGAGGUCCC